UACGUAGGGUGCAAGCGUUGUCCGGAAUUAUUGGGCGUAAAGAGCUCGUAGGCGGUCUGUCGCGUCGGCUGUGAAAACUCGGGGCUCAACUCCGAGCUUGCAGUCGAUACGGGCAGGCUAGAGUUCGGCAGGGGAGACUGGAAUUCCUGGUGGUAGCGGUGAAAUGCGCAGAGUAUCAGGAGGAACACCGGUGGCGAAGGCGGAUCUCUGGGCCGAAUACUGACGUGGAGGAGCGAAA
rnacentral:rRNA from 1 species